UACGUAGGGUGCAAGCGUUAAUCGGAAUUACUGGGCGUAAAGCGUGCGCAGGCGGUUAUGUAAGACAGAUGUGAAAUCCCCGGGCUCAACCUGGGAACUGCAUUUGUGACUGCACAGCUGGAGUGCGGCAGAGGGGGAUGGAAUUCCGCGUGUAGCAGUGAAAUGCGUAGAUAUGCGGAGGAACACCGGUGGCGAAGGCAAUCCCCUGGGCCUGCACUGACGCUCAUGCACGAAAGCGUGGGGAGCAAACAGG
rnacentral:rRNA from 1 species